GGGUGCCCUGUUAACAUGCAGGCGGCCUAUAACUUUAAAUCUUUAGAAAGGAACAUUACACUAGAGAAAAACAUCAUAUGUUUACUUCAAAUAUCUUUAGAGAGAACUAUCAUUUUUUUAUAUUUUUACCCAAAAUAGGAGUAGCAUCUGCCUGCACAACCGGAGGCUGCAUUUCAGGACCGCAGUCCUAUGACCGCAUUUCUAGGACCCUAGAUGUUUAGAUACAUCGCCACCUACCGAAUUACAGGACCAGUGACCGCAUGUUUUUCUGGAAGAUGGACGAUAUUCAGAGUAAACACAUAACAAUCCAAGAAGGGAGAUCCUUUCCUGGACUUUAGAGGUGCACCACAUGCUGCAAGGAGUUCCUCUGCUCGUUCUGCAGUUCUGCUUUGUUUCACCCAACAAAGUUGAGCAAAGUGAAAUCCCAUUUGGAGAGCCAUUUCAAACACACAGUUCUCUAUGAAGACCAUCAUAUAUGGCCUGGCUGGGCUGCAGAAUUUGUCUCUGCGGGAUGCUGAGAAGGCCUUCUUCUCUGGUCUGGAUUAUCAUCACAGUGAAGUGGAAAAAUUUAAUAGAGUGAUAUAGAAACAACUGAGAAAA